GUUUGAGUCCACUCCGUGGCGCCCUCCUAUUGUUCUUUGUGUAGUCAUGACCAGCACGCGCAGGUGCCAAAAGGAGUAUUACGAAGUAAUAAACUCUAAUCUUUCUGAAAUUGUGGACAUUGAGUUGAAAGAUAACAAUAUUUUAAGAUGGAAAGGGCUUUUAGUUCCCUGUCAGCCACCCUAUAAAAAAGGCGCUUUUGAGUUUUCCAUCGAAUUUCCAGAAAAUUACCCUUUCCGACCCCCCAAACUUGCUUUUUUAACUCCCAUAAAACAUCCGAAUAUUGAUGAGAAUGGGACUAUUUGUAUUCCCAUUUUAAAAGAUGAGAACUGGAGACCUACUAUUAAAGUCUUAGAUGUAUUUAAGUCUCUUUGUCAUCUUAUUCAUAAUCCGGAUCUUUCUAGUCCAAUAAACGAAGAAGAAGCCAGAUAUUAUACCUAUAACAAACAAAUAUGGAUUGGACUUGUAGAGGACCAUGUUUACCGUCACGCUUAUAAGCUAAGGAAGAAGCGCAAACUAGCUUAACUAUUUUCUAACUUCUUUUUUAAAAGCUAAAGCUUUCCUAGGAGGACGAUUGGCUUGAAGCUCCUUGCUAACAACUCAUAAAUAUACUUAAGAAUCCUUUUAAAAGUUUUAUAACA